CCCUGUACGCAAAAUGUUAUUUGGACCAUCGUUAAGAAGGUAAGGACGGUGACGAAAAACCAAGUGAAACUACUUCGAGUGGCUGUUCACGAUAAUUAUGAUACCAAUGCGAGGCCGGUUCAACCAAUAAAUAAACGUGUGGUGAAGUUAUUCAGACCAAAAUCUCUGUGAAUCAAGGCAUCACAUGAAUCAAAUACAAAGAUACAAUACAAUUUAUUUCAUUUUUUUACAAUCAAAGUGUAAUUUUUAUUUAUUACGAAAUUAAUGAUGUAUGUGUUUCCUGA